UAAACAAUUAAAGAAUAACAUAAAAAUAAGUUACAGUGGUUACAGACAAAAAAAUCAUUAUAAAGUUAUACAUUAUAAUGCGAAAUAAAUUGGAUACUCAACGUUUCUGGGCUCAUAGAAGUUAUUUAAGUACACACUUAUGUUGGACACUGGAUUAAAAGUGGACGCCUUGCAAAGAGCUAGUGGCCGUCUUUGUUAAAUCAACCGAUUUAUGGAGCGCUUUCCAUGCAGCUUAUAACAAUUAAAAAACUGGGAAAGCUACCUAUCCCUAAGAAAAGAUGCUUGGAAUUGGGAAUACCACUCAAAAAAUUCUUCGAUGCGAAUUUUAGAUGGUAAUAUUAUUAAAUAUCAAUAUAAAUUACAAUAUAGACAUUAGGUAUAUGUGUUUAUGGUGAUAGGUUGUAUGUAUUUUCGGAAGACAUCAAUUUUCUCGAAAAAUAAUUAAAAUUGUACGAUUACUUAGCCGUCUACAGUUAUAAUAAAAUAAAAAUUGUUUGAUGUUUGAUAGAGUCCCACCAACCUAAUCUAAAAAACAAAACUAUAAAAUUGACUCGAAAAAAAACGAAAUUUGGAAUA